AUUGAACGCUGGCGGCAUGCCUUACACAUGCAAGUCGAACGGCAGCACGGGUGCUUGCACCUGGUGGCGAGUGGCGAACGGGUGAGUAAUACAUCGGAACAUGUCCUGUAGUGGGGGAUAGCCCGGCGAAAGCCGGAUUAAUACCGCAUACGAUCCACGGAUGAAAGCGGGGGACCUUCGGGCCUCGCGCUAUAGGGUUGGCCGAUGGCUGAUUAGCUAGUUGGUGGGGUAAAGGCCUACCAAGGCGACGAUCAGUAGCUGGUCUGAGAGGACGACCAGCCACACUGGGACUGAGACACGGCCCAGACUCCUACGGGAGGCAGCAGUGGGGAAUUUUGGACAAUGGGCGAAAGCCUGAUCCAGCAAUGCCGCGUGUGUGAAGAAGGCCUUCGGGUUGUAAAGCACUUUUGUCCGGAAAGAAAUGCUUGACUCUAAUACAGUCGGGGGAUGACGGUACCGGAAGAAUAAGCACCGGCUAACUACGUG
rnacentral:rRNA from 1 species